rnacentral:tRNA from 1 species
GCAUUGGUGGUUCAGUGGUAGAAUUCUAGCUUGCCAUGUUGGAGGCCUGGGUUCGAUUCCCAGCCAAUACA